UAGGGAAUCUUCGGCAAUGGGGGGAACCCUGACCGAGCAACGCCGCGUGAGUGAAGAAGGUUUUCGGAUCGUAAAGCUCUGUUGUUAAGGAAGAACGAGUGUGAGAAUGGAAAGUUCAUACUGUGACGGUACUUAACCAGAAAGGGACGGCUAACUACGUGCCAGCAGCCGCGGUAAUACGUAGGUCCCGAGCGUUGUCCGGAUUUAUUGGGCGUAAAGCGAGCGCAGGCGGUUAGAAAAGUCUGAAGUGAAAGGCAGUGGCUCAACCAUUGUAGGCUUUGGAAACUGUUUAACUUGAGUGCAGAAGGGGAGAGUGGAAUUCCAUGAGUAGCGGUGAAAUGCGUGGAUAUAUGGAGGAACACCGGUGGCGAAAGCGGCUCUCUGGUCUGUAACUGACGCUGAGGCUCGAAAGCGUGGGGAGCGAACAGG
rnacentral:rRNA from 1 species